UGAGCAGAUUGAAUGGCGGCGGGAUUUAUUAAAAUCCCGAGGAAAGUCCGAGCUCCACAGGGCAGGAUAGCUGCUAACGGCAGCCGAGGGCAACCUUAGGGAUAGUGCAACAGAGAGAUACCGCCCAAAUUUGGGUAAGGGUGGAAAGGCGAGGUAAGAGCUCACCGGCAUACAGGCGACUGUAUUGGCCAUGUAAACCCUAUCCGGAGCAACACCGACAUGGGGGUUAAGCAUGCCCUGCGUCCCCGAAGCGUGGCAAGAUCCGACCCGGCGACGGGCGGACCAGAUAGAUCGUCAUUCGCGACAGAACUCGGCUUACAGAUCUGCUCAUAAA
rnacentral:RNase_P_RNA from 1 species